rnacentral:rRNA from 1 species
UACGGAAGGCAGCAGUGGGGAAUAUUGCACAAUGGGCGAAAGCCUGAUGCAGCUAUGCCGCGUGUAUGAAGAAGGCCUUAGGGUUGUAAAGUACUUUCAUCGGGGAGGAAAAAACAAAACUAAUAAUUUUAUUUCUUGACGUUACCCGAAAAAGAAGCACCGGCUAACUCCGUGCCAGCAGCCGCGGUAAUACGGAGGGUGCUAGCGUUAAUCAGAAUUACUGGGCGUAAAGAGCACGUAGGUGGUUUUUUAAGUCAGAUGUGAAAUCCUUGGGCUUAACCUAGGAACUGCAUUUUGAAACUGAAAUACUAGAGUAUCGUAGAGGGAGGUAGAAUUCUAGGUGUAGCGGUGAAAUGCGUAGAUAUCUGGAGGAAUACCUGUGGCGAAAGCGGCCUCCUAAACGAAUACUGACACUGAGGUGCGAAAGCGUGGGGAGCAAACAGGGAUUAGAUACC